rnacentral:rRNA from 1 species
UACGUAGGGUGCAAGCGUUGUCCGGAUUGACUGGGCGUAAAGCGCACGCAGGCGGUCGCGCGCGUGGGGUGUGAAAUCUGGCCGCUUAACGGCCAGGCGCCAUCCCAUACGGCGCGUCUGGAGUGAUGCAGAGGUCGAUGGAAUUGCCGGUGUAGUGGUGAAAUGCGUAGAGAUCGGCAGGAACACCCAGGGGGAAACCAGUCGACUGGGCAUCUACUGACGCUGAGGUGCGAGAGCGUGGGGAGCGAACCGG